AGGUAAUCAGGAGGAGCAUGAAGGUUUGCAGAGUCCUCGAGGCUGAUGUCAGAUUGGUUUUGUUCACCAGUUUUGUAAUCUGAGCUAUCAUCUCUAGUACUUUGUCUCAAAACUAUUUUCUAAUAGUUCUCUCUCCUGCAGACAUUGCCUCUCAUCUUGACCCGAGUGCCUACACUAAUCUCCUCACAUGUCCUCCUCUGCACUCCAGACGUCACCCCCUAUGUGCCUCAGUGUACCAGCUUGCUGCAUCUCUAGUUGCCAUCCUGUUGCCUGCUGCUUCUCUGAUUACUCACUUGUUGCCUGCUGCUGGAACUACCUCUGAUGUCACUCACUCACCUACCAGUCUGCCCUCCUGCACUCAUCAGUAAACACGAAACAUCAGCCAUUACCAACCCUCAACCCAUCAUCCUCCGAUGACCUCCUCAGGUGGUCGUAUCACCUUCUCCAGCCGGUUUCCUCUCGUCAGAAACAUGCUCCUUCUUGAGGCCCGUGUGGGAUCCACUUCGAAACUGUUUGUUUGCCUGUAUAAUAAACCUGAUUUGACUUUC